rnacentral:misc_RNA from 1 species
AACACUGUUAACCUGCGGUACCUGCGGAGGGAUCAUUAUAGUAUAUGGAAUCUCCAUUCUAUAAACCCACUCUGCGUAUCUUGUAACUGUUGCUUCCAUGGGACUUGGUUCCGCCACACCGGCUUCACGGCUGGUGAGCGCCCAUGGAAGGAGAAACAAAACUCUUCUUUGAAAUGUAGUCAGUCUGAACAAGUUUUUAUAAACGUUAAAACUUUCAACAAUGGAUCUCAGAUCGGAAGA